UGCCAUGAUGUCGUAAUUUGCGUCCGACUCUGCGCCCGGUGACAGUUGCCUGCUGUCAGUGUGCUGGGGCAGAGGGCUGACGAGCACUGAACACUGAGCA
rfam:Calypte anna contig13513, whole genome shotgun sequence.